UACGAAGGGGGCUAGCGUUGCUCGGAAUCACUGGGCGUAAAGCGCACGUAGGCGGAUCUUUAAGUCAGGGGUGAAAUCCCAAGGCUCAACCUUGGAACUGCCUUUGAUACUGGGGAUCUCGAGUCCGGAAGAGGUGAGUGGAACUGCGAGUGUAGAGGUGAAAUUCGUAGAUAUUCGCAAGAACACCAGUGGCGAAGGCGGCUCACUGGUCCGGUACUGACGCUGAGGUGCGAAAGCGUGGGGAGCAAACGGG
rnacentral:rRNA from 1 species